rnacentral:rRNA from 1 species
UAGGGAAUCUUCCACAAUGGACGCAAGUCUGAUGGAGCAACGCCGCGUGAGUGAAGAAGGUUUUCGGAUCGUAAAGCUCUGUUGUUGGUGAAGAAGGAUAGAGGCAGUAACUGGUCUUUAUUUGACGGUAAUCAACCAAGAAGCCACGGCUAACUACGUGCCAU